GUCACUCGCUCACAGGCGCGGGGCCCUCAUCGGGGCGAGAGCACCCCCACACACACACCGCUGCGGGCCCGGGAGUGGGAGACCCGGGGGACACGGACACUGCGCACUGUGUAUCUGCAUUAGGCAUCGACCAAGCCUCCCCCAUUGGCAGAAAUACCUGCUCUACCAUAAAGAGAAACAUUCUCCAGGCAUCAACAAGACAACUCCUUAAAAGAUAACAUUCCUUCUGGAUCUUGUAAGGGGACACAGGACCCAUCACUUUGUACUCACAGAUCUGGAUUGUGCAAACUAUCUAUGUCAUUUAAUGUACAGCCUUCUGUCUCAAAAACCUAUAUAACUGUGCUUUGACCUGUAAUGGGUGGAACGGUUCUCAGAGCUUUCUGAGAGGCUGUUCCCAGGUUAUAAUCUUCCAUUUGGCUCAAAUAAAAUUUUCCAUUUCUUUCCUA